GUUCUUUUUCAGAGUUGUCUUUAAUUUUAUAAAGUAUAUAUUAUUAAUGUAUUUCUUCAUUACACUGCAUGUUCACCAGUAUCCUUGAUUCUUGGCUAUUUUUUGUUUAAAUGGACCACUAAAAAUCAAGCCUACAGAUAAGGGAUGGGGUCUGUCUAAGGUCAGAGUCGGGACUGGGCUGGAGGUGAGAGGGGGCCACAGAUGUGGGUGGGGCUGGGUGGGAGGCAUAUUUAGGCUGGCAGGUGUGAGGGGCAGGCAGUUCUGGUGGGGAGAUGAGCAACCACGAGGACUGGAGGUUAGGCGCUGCUGGCUGCCAGUCUCUGUGGUCUCGAGGUGAUGCUCACAGCCUAACAUGAUGCAAGCAAUGCAGUCCAGCGGCAGGAGGUGUUAGAGCUGACAAGGUUUGUGGAAAAUAAUCCCUUUUUAAUCCCCCUGCAGUUUGAAAAGCUGGCAGUGUGGAAUGAAUGGUGAGACAGUGCUAACUCCUGAGCCUGUUGCAAUUGAGAGAUCAUGGUCGUCUGCCAUCCAAG